ACCGUUUUCUCGAUGCGGCGCAACGGGAAUCGGCGCUCGCGUUGUCGGCCGCGCUGGCAGCGGGCAAGCACGCGGGCGGUCUCGGCGCCGAGGCGGUGC
rnacentral:tRNA from 1 species